rnacentral:rRNA from 1 species
UACAGAGGUCUCAAGCGUUGUUCGGAUUCAUUGGGCGUAAAGGGUGCGUAGGUGGCGUGGUAAGUCGGGUGUGAAAUUUCGGAGCUUAACUCCGAAACUGCAUUCGAUACUGCUGUGCUUGAGGACUGGAGAGGAGACUGGAAUUCACGGUGUAGCAGUGAAAUGCGUAGAGAUCGUGAGGAAGACCAGUGGCGAAGGCGGGUCUCUGGACAGUUCCUGACACUGAGGCACGAAGGCCAGGGGAGCAAACGGG